AACAGGUGAUGAACUCAUCGAUAGGAGGACAGAGACACUGUGUUGAUUGCCAUGUUUGAGGUU
rnacentral:snoRNA from 1 species